rnacentral:rRNA from 1 species
AACCCCGGGAGGGGAGUGAAAGAGAACCUGAAACCUUAUGUUUACAAACAGUCGAAGUUUUUCGGAACGACGGCGUACUUUUUGUAGAACGGUCCGGCGAGUUGCAGUGACAUGCGAGGUUAAGGAGUACAGCUCCGGAGCCGAAGGGAAACCAAGUCUUAACUGGGCGUCUAGUAUGUUAAUGCAGACCCGAAACCGGGUGACCUAUCCAUGGGCAGGUUGAAGUUACCGUAAAAGGUAAUGGAGGACCGAACUCACAUCUGUUGAAAAAGGUGGAGAUGACCUGUGGAUAGCGGAGAAAUUCCAAUCGAACUCGGAGAUAGCUGGUUCUCCUCGAAAUAGCUUUAGGGCUAGCCUUGAGGUAAAGUCUAAUGGAGGUAAAGCACUGAUUGGACGCGGGUCCCCAAAAGGAUACCAACUUCUAUCAAACUCAGAAUGCCAUAUAGAUAUACUCAGGAGUCAGACUAUGUGAGAUAAGUUUCAUAGUCAAAAGGGAAAGAGCCCAGACCGACAGCUAAGGUCCCAAAGUGUGUGUUAAGUGGAAAAGGAUGUUAGGUUUCUAAGACAACUAGGAUGUUGGCUCAGAAGCAGCCACUCAUUUAAAGAGUGCGUAACAGCUCACUAGUCGAGAGGUCUAGCGCCGAAAAUGUCCGGGGCUAAAACACACCACCGAAGCUACGGAAUUACCUAUGGUAAUUGGUAGAGGAGCAUUCUGUAAGGACGAAGCACAAUUGAAAGAGAGUGUGGACGAAACAGAAGAGAGAAUGCCGGAAUGAGUAGCGAGAUAUAUGUGAGAAUCAUAUAGGUCGAAUGUCUAAGGUUUCCUGGGUAAAGCUGAUCUGCUCAGGGUAAGUCGGGACCUAAGGUGAGGGCGAGAGCCGUAAUCGAUGGACAACAGGUAGAAAUUCCUGUACUACGUAUAAUCAGAACUGUGGGGACGCAGGAGGAUAGGAAAACCGGAGAAUGGAAAAAUCCGGCUAAGUACAAAGGUGUGAGUGAUAGGCAAAUCCGUCACUAUAAGCUGAAGUACGAAUGGGAGCGAAGAAAAGUAGCGAAGUUUCUGAAUCCACACUGUCAAGAAAAGCCGCUAUUGCGUUAUACGUACCCGUACCGCAAACCGACACAGGUAGACGAGGAGAAAAUCCACAGACCGACGGGAGAAGUGUUGUUAAGGAACUCGGCAAAAUGACCCCGUAACUUAGGGAUAAGGGGAGCCAACGCAAGUUGGUCACAGAAAAGAGGCUCAAGCGACUGUUUAGCAAAAACAUAGGUCUAUGCGAAACCGUAAGGUGAUGUAUAUGGGCUGACACCUGCCCGGUGCUGGAAGGUCAAAAGGAGAGGUUAGCGUAAGCGAAGCUUUGAAUUCAAGCCCCAGUAAACGGCGGCCGUAACUAUAACGGUCCUAAGGUAGCGAAAUUCCUUGUCAGGUAAGUUCUGACCCGCACGAAAGGUGUAACGAUUUGAGCACUGUCUCGACAACACGCCCGGUGAAAUUGAAGAACCAGUGAAGAUACUGGUUACCCGCAACAGGACGGAAAGACCCCAUGGAGCUUUACUGCAGCUUAAUAUUGGGAUUCGGUAUUGUAUGUACAGGAUAGGAGGGAGACUAAGAAGCUAGCACGCCAGUGUUGGUGGAGUCGAUGGUGGGAUACCUCUCUUAUAAUACUGAAUUUCUAACCUACUUCCGUGAUCCGGAAGAGGGACAUUGUUAGGCGGGCAGUUUGACUGGGGCGGUCGCCUCCGAAAGAGUAACGGAGGCGCUCAAAGGUCUUCUCAGAAUGAUUGGAAACCAUUCAAAGAGUGUAAAGGCAAAAGAAGGCUUGACUGCGAGAGUGACAACUCGAGCAGGUACGAAAGUAGGACUUAGUGAUCCGGUGGUAACAAGUGGGAGUGCCAUCGCUUAACGGAUAAAAGCUACCCUGG